rnacentral:lncRNA from 1 species
UUAUGACCAGGUAGGGGUGUUUCUGAAACGAAAUUGCAUUUGGGCCAUGGAGCUUUUCUUCCUUUGGCCCAAAAUUCUCCAAGAAACAUCCAUGAAUCAUACUUCCAACAGAAAGAAACAAAAAGACAAACUCAGGGAAUGAAGUGUUUAUGAAGAUUUACGGACGAUACGUCAUGAAGCAAAUUCCACUUCGACCACACGCCCUCGUCGUCACCGCGUCGUCGCCCGAAAAAUGGGCUCCGCUUCGAUUUGAUCUGUGUUGCGUUCGUGUUUGAGAUGAAUGACGAAGAUGAUGAAUGGUUGAUGAUGCGUUACGUUGCAGAACGAAGAUGGAGAUGAUGUUAUGUUCGUGAUGCGAUGAUGCUUCCGAAUCCGUGCAUUGCCAAUUGAGAAGACGAAACUUGUUGAAUCGUGAGUUUCUUCCUUUGAUUUCUUGCUACUGAUUUUCCUAUGGUUCUAUGCUCCUUCUCCUCUUCUUCUAUGAGCCUUCUUUUUAUUCUCUUCUUCUUGAAUCUUUGGUUCGUUUUUGGAUGCGAAUUGUUUCCAUUUUUGGUGUGUAUUCGUGUGGUAGAAGAUUGGAGGUUAGUCUGCAGGUUCUGAAUUGGGUUUGGGAUGGAAGGUUUUUGUGAAUUUGGUUCUGUUGUAGAUGGAAGGUUGGUUAUGUGGAUGGGUGAUUCAGUGAGGGUGAUGAGUUUGUUGAACAUUUGAAGAGGAAGCGAAAUGAAGUUUUGUUGUGAUUUUCGAGGAGUGAGUUUGUUAUUGAUUCAGUUCCAUUCUGUUGGAAGCUUCUGAGGGGUUUUUCUGUUAUCAUCCCUCUAUUGAGUUGGUUAUAGAGAGUUUUUUUGGUUAUGAUGAAGCUUAGUUCAGAAGUCGUUGAGAAGUUUUUUCUUUUAUAUCUGUUUCUAGAAGUUGUUUUAAAUGGUUGUUUUUUGGGGAUCGAAGAAUGGAGAGUGAAGUUCUGUUCAAAGGUUGAUUGAAGAGGUUGGGAAUUUAUCAGUUAGCAAGCAAAGUUCUGGUUUUUUGAAUUGGGGAGUUUUUGGCUAUUCUGUUGUGAAUUGUUAUCACAGUUGAGGAAGCUGCUAUGGAGUUUGUUACAGUUGGUUAGAAAUUGUUGGAGGGUUAUGAUUUUAGGUUAUUGGGAGUUGAAAACCGGUUGAAGGUUCAAGGGUGUUACGGUUCUGAGAAGUUCGGUUGUUGGAAGUUCUUGAAUUUGUUUUAUUAUGUUGUUCAGUUUAUUGUUCUGAUUCAAUCUUUUGUUUUUUUUUUUGUGAAUUAAUGCAGGUUGUGUUCUUAGAGCUUGGGGAGUCAUGUGCGAAGGAAAACCUGUAGAGGAUCCCUAUGGCAAUUAGUUCCUACUAUUCAUAGACCCAUUAUAUCCAUUUUGUGAUUGAGGAUACAUGUUUGGAGCUCCUGGAGAAAGAUGUAUCCCGGGAGUAUAAUCCACCAUACGUAUGACCACUUAAUUGUGCAUAUUGACUAAGAAGCAUAAGGUGCCUGCAGAGAAUGGCCAGUAGAUGAUGAAAAUCCAUGCAAGCCAGGUUGACUAGAAUGAGAAGGAAAGGGUGGCCGUGUUUAUGCAUAUGGGCUGGUGUUAGCUGGAAAAGAUGCAGAGUAUGGUUCGAUAGAAAAUGAGUCCCCAAAUCCAAAGCUGGACAUUGUGUCAGCAUAUUACAAGGCUGACAUUGGCUUAGAUUAUUUAGAAUGGUUCAUUUGGAUCGUGUCGAAGCCUUGAACUUAAUGGAGUGGUUUUGAAGUUUUGAAUUGAUCUUGUGUUCAUUUACAAUAUUGUAGUGUUAUGUAGGAUAUUAUAAUGGUUUAAUGUAAUGAAUAGUCAAUUGGACAUGGUUGUGAUUUGAUGUAGUUGGAAGUUUGGAAUUGCAAUUGUAAUGAUGUAUUGAAUGUAUAUGAAAUGAUUUAUGAAUGGUUUUGGAAUUUUGGAAAUUGAAUUGAAAUGGAACGUAUAUGACUUGAAUGGAAUUUGGGAUAUUUUUGUAGUUUGGGAAUUGAAUUUAUGUAGAAAUGUUUGGAGAUUUGAAAUUGUAAUUGUAAUGAUGUAUUAUGAUUCAUGGUGAAUAUUG